UGCCGGGUGUGGGCGAAUACAAGACCUUAGGGGAAUAAACCCGCCGUUCCUGUAGCGGUUGAUAGCACCCGGCAUUUCGCAU
rnacentral:ncRNA from 1 species